rnacentral:misc_RNA from 1 species
AUGGUGCAAAAAGAAUGGUUGAGGCAUUCUUCAGCUAGCUCGUAGGUUUGAGUUGUUCUUUUAUGCCAUUGCCAAUUGACAUUUGCACUUUCCUUACCAGACUCAGCACUGAAAGCAUCACCAUCAACUGUAACUCCAUUAAUACCAGCAUUGUUAACCAGGAUAUCCAAUCUUCCAAAUUGAGUUUUGAUGAAAUCAGCGAGAGCAGCAAUACUGGCAGUAUCAGCCACAUCAAGUUGAU